ensembl:lincRNA
AAAUUUCAGUGCCCUAGAUAGACCAUUUUAGAGCAAACAAUUUAAAGUAAAUUAACAUUUUUCCCUUUAGUCUUCAUAACUACUAUUAUAUGAAUGUCUCCCAAAAUUCAUGUGUUGAAACCUAAUCACCAAUAUGGUAGUAUUAAGAGAUGGAGCCUUUAGGAGAUGAUUAAGACAGAAGCUCAGAGCCCUCAUGGACAAAAGCAGGGCCCUUAUCAAAACUAUGGAGGUAUGGGUUUGUUUUUUCCCAUCCUUUCUGUCUUGUGAGGGCACAGUAUUCAUCCUCUCCAAAGGAUGCAGCAACAAGGCAUCUUACAAGGUCUUGUAAGCAGAAGAGAGCCUUCAACAGAUGUUGGUGUCUUGUUCUUGGACUUCCCAGCCUCCAAAACUGUGAGAAAUACCUUUUUGUUGUUUAUAGAUGACUCAGUCUCAGGAAUUUUGUUAUAGCAGGACAAACAGACUAAAAGAACAAUGUCCCCAUUUUUUUCUUUCAUGCUAACCACUAUAAUUUUUAAUUACAGAUUCAUUUGUCUACCUCUUUAUUAUGUCUCACCUCAAGUAGACUGGGAGUCUCUACAUUCACGCUCCUACAGAACCCAGGGCCAGGAGAAGAAUGGAACUUUUACUUCUACCACAAAAAGAAUUGACACGCAGGAUAAUUGACCUUUGAAACACACAGAUUGCUUCAGCAUUCAGCAGUCAAUCUGGGAAGAAAUGCAAGCAACUACAGGGAACAGUAAGUGCAGAGAAUUAUUAAUUUUCCCAGAGAAGAGCAAGUGCCAAAUUGCCUGCCAUAUGAAUGGACCAUCUUGGGAAUGAAUUCUCCAUCCGACACUACUUGGAACAGAUAAGCUGUCCUGGUCAAGUCUACACAAAUUGCAAAAUUAUGAAGUAAAAAGUGAUUGUUAGUAUUUUAAGCAUCUAAGAAUUUGGUUGAUUUGGGUUAUACAGCAAUAGAUAACCAAAACAGAAUUCAAAACUCUGAAGUGUGGUGGUACUGUAAACAAACUCAAAAUCUGUGGCACUGUCCUUAGAAUGGGUAUUGUGGGGAGAGGUGGGCAGAGGCCUGAAGAGCCUCAAGGAGACACUUAAUGAAGGUUUGAAAUAGAGUGAUGAAAUUGUUAUAGGAGUUCUCCUUUUACGGGUCGGGGAAGGUGUAGCAACAUCAUAAUCUGUGAUAAUAUGGAAGAUAGAAAGUCUACCUAAUGAAAUCAUGAUUAAAGAGAUGUCCGGGAAAAAUUUUCAAGUGCCAACUGGCUUCUUUUAACUGCACAGUAAAGUGCCAGAAAAUUGAGAUAAGCUAAAAAAAAAAAGCAGAACUGUUCAGUUAUCAAGCAGAAUUUAGAGAAACUAUAAAAAAAUGGCCAGGCAUGGUGGCUCGUGUCUGUAAUCCUAGCACUUUGGGAGGCUGAAGCAGGCAGGUCACCUGAGGCCAGGAGUUUGAGACCAGCCUGGCCAUCAUGGAGAAACCUGGUCUCUACUAAAAAUACAAAAAUUAGUUGGGUGUGGUGGCGCAUGCCUGUAAUCCCAGCUACUCAGGAGGCUGAGGGAGGAGAAUCAUUUGAACCCAGGAGGCAGAGAUUGCAGUGAGCUGAGAUUGUGCCACUGCAGUCUAGGCUGGGUGACAGAGUGAGACUCUGACUCAAAAAAAUAAUAAUAAUAAAAUAUAAAAAAUAAAAAAGCCUGAUGCACUGGGUUUGGAAAUAAAACGUUUUCUCAUUCUUAACCUCUCCAGGCAGCAAAAUUUCACAAUGUAAGAAAUAGGCUCAGGACAAGCAUCAAAUCCAAGGUAUUGUCUUCAAUGUGUGGCCUCACGUUCCAGAGUGUAGCCUAACACCUUGCUAUGGUCCAAAUGUUUGUGUCCUCCAAAGCUCACGCUGAAAUUUAAUUGCCAUUGUAACAACGCUGAGAAGUGGGAAUGGGAUCUUCAAGAGGUAACUGGGCCAUAAGGGCUCCACUCUCAUGGGUGCGAUUAAUGCUGUUAUAAAAAGUGUGAAUUUGGCCCUUUUUUCUCUCUUGCCUUUCUCCCGUCUCCCAUGUGAUGACAGAGCAAGAAGGUCUUUGCAAGAGCCCAACACCUCGAUAUUGGACUUACCAGCCUCCAGAAUUGUAAGCUAAUAAUUUUCUGUUAAUUAUUUAUUAUCAGUCUCAG